AAAUAUUAUAAGAGUACCCAAGUUGGAAUAAAGAAAACUUGCUUGAUUACGGUCACUGAAAUAUUGUGGGAGUAGCUUUGUCUCCAGAGUAGGGCUUUAAGUACAUUUCUGGGUUUUUUUGUAUUAAAUAAAAUAUGAAUAUGAAGCUUCUCUGACAAACCUUAAACCUCUUUUAAUGGACUUAGCCUUAGAAUAUUAUUUAUUAAUAUCAAGGAAUUUUUUUUAUAUGUUUUGCUCUCUAUGGGCAUGCAGAUAUUUUAGACAGCAAAUAUUAAACCAAUGUAUUUAGCUGAUUAUAUUGUUUAAAGUACAUUACAUAACAUUGUAUGCCUAAAAGUUCUGGAACAGAUUGAAAGUGCAUUCCUUAUGCAGGGUAACUUUAUUUACCACUUUUUUUCUGAUUUACAGUUAAUCAUGUCAUUAUUCAGUUGUUAGUUCUUUAGACUUUGACUGCCAUGUGACUAUAAUAUUGGUCUCACCGGUGAGGCAGAGUGCAGGAAGUUGCUGCUGCCACCGCAGGGCUUGGGUGGGCUGGCCCCUGCCUUACUCUCCACUGCUUCUGUGCUCCAGCCACAGUGAGCUGCUUAUGUGUUUUCCAAUGUGCUGUGUUCCUCUGCUCUCAGGGGCUUUGUCCACUCUGUUCCAUUCACUUAGGACAUUUUCUCCAGGGCUCUCUAUAACCUGGUUUCACCUGAUUUACGGUAGAAAACCAUAGCCCCCAUCCCAGAACCAUUCUUCCUCAUGGAAACCCUCCCAGACCCUUCAGCCUAUGUCAUGUUCUUCUAAAAUUCCCAUCAUCUUUGAAAAACCCUGUAUUUUUCCUUCUUAGCUUACCUCAUUGUCUAAUGAAGAAUUUGUGAUGGUGUGGAUGUCUGUCUCCUCCUUAGAUUGUAAGCUCCAUGAGGGCAAGGACUGUGACUGUUUUGCUGAUAAGGCUGUAUCCACAGUGUCCAGCACAAAGUAGGCACAAAGUAAAUAUUUUUGAAUGAUGCAUAAAUAAAAAGGAAAGCAAGUUGGAAUAAACUUUUUGGAGGAUAAAUUGGCAGUAUGAAUAAAAACACUUAAGAGGAUGGUGGUGGGCUGCA